UUCUGGCCUUACCUGCUGGUUUGGAAGGAUCUUGCUUGGUACUUCCAACUACUAGCAUAUUGGUGGCCUCUAUGCUAUAGAAGGAUUAACCUUGUCUGCUUGCUGCUGCUAUUUAUAUCCCAGCAGCUUUUGUAUCUGACACCAGUGAUCUCUGCUCAGGAAGUCUUCUAAUUUCUUUUAAUUCCCAACUGAAUCUCUACAAUUCAAAGGCUUCUUUAUUAAACCUCCUCGUUCCACCGACUUUCCCUUACCGCUCCUGGUUUCUAUAUGGUCAUUCCAUCUUGGCCCCAUAAUUUUUGGGGGUGACCUCUUGUGGUGUUGAGCGGGGUGUUUCACAUUAUGUGGACAGCUGUUUUUUCUGCCUGGGAUGGAAGCUAUCCUUAUUAGACCGCCUGAUGCUGCCGCUUGGACUGCAGCACAUCAUUGAGACACAUCAUCAAGCCACACAAACUCUCUGAAGAAGACCUCCAAAGGUCGAAACAUUCGUUAGAUUGUUUUUACUACAAUGCACAUUUUUGACUGUAUAAACAUUGUUUGUGUACUGCUUCUUAUACAUUUAUGUAAACGCUGUUUG